rnacentral:rRNA from 1 species
UACAGAGGGUGCAAGCGUUGUCCGGAUUUACUGGGCGUAAAGAGCGCGUAGGCGGAACGUUAAGCGGGGCCGGAAAGCCCCCGGCUCAACCGGGGAAGGGGCCGCGAACUGGCGUUCUUGAGGGGGAGAGGGGAGAGCGGAAUUCCUGGUGUAGCGGUGAAAUGCGUAGAGAUCAGGAGGAACACCCAUGGCGAAGGCAGCUCUCUGGCUUCAUCCUGACGCUGAGGCGCGAAAGCGUGGGGAGCGAACAGG